UACAGAGGUCUCGAGCGUUAGGCGGAAUCACUGGGCUUAAAGCGUGUGUAGGCGGAUCGGUAAGUACCUUGUGAAAUCCCACAGCUUAACUGUGGAACUGCUUGGUAUACUGCCAGUCUUGAGCCAGCUAGGGGCUACCGGAACAAAUGGUGGAGCGGUGAAAUGCGUAGAUAUCAUUUGGAACGCCAAUGGUGAAAACAGGUAGCUGGGGCUGUGCUGACGCUGAGACACGAAAGCCAGGGGAGCAAGCGGG
rnacentral:rRNA from 1 species